UUAAAUGGCCGCAGUAUUUUGACUGUGCAAAGGUAGCAUAAUCAUUAGUUUUUUAAUUGAAAGCUGGUAUGAAAGGUUGAACGAAAAAAUAACUGUCUCCUUAUAAAUAUUUUAGAAUUUUAUAUUUAAGUUAAAAAGCUUAAAUAAAUUUAAAAGACGAGAAGACCCUAUAGAGUUUUAUAUAAUUAUUUAUUAUUAUAAUUUUAGAAUAAUAAAAAUUUAAUAAAUAAUUAUAUUUAGUUGGGGUGAUUGAAAAAUUUAUAAAACUUUUUUUUUAAUAAAACAUUAUUAAAUGAAUAAUUGAUCCAUAAUUUAUGAUUAUAAGAUUAAAUUACCUUAGGGAUAACAGCGUAAUUUCUUUUUAGAGUUCUAAUCGAUAAAGAAGUUUGCGACCUCGAUGUUGGAUUAAAAUAAAAUAUUGGUGUAGAAGCUAAAUAUUUAGGUCUGUUCGACCUUUAAAAUUUUACAUGAUCUGAGUUUAAACCGGUGUGAGCCAGGUUGGUUUCUAUCUUUAAAUAAAUAUAAUAUUUUAGUACGAAAGGACCAAAUAUUAAUUUUAUAAAAAUUUAAUUAAACGAAUAUUAUUAAU
rnacentral:rRNA from 1 species